rnacentral:other from 1 species
GUCUUGCUGUGGCUCUCGUCGAAGGCAACUAAUCCCGGGGACCUUAAUUCACCUCUAGGGAGCUGUCCCUGACAGGGUCCGUGGACCCUGACACACGGCGCCCACCUGUUCACGACAGGUCCGAGGGGAUUUAAAACGCCUUCACGGUUCUUCGCGGCGCCGCC